rnacentral:rRNA from 1 species
GACGAACGCUGGCGGCGUGCUUAACACAUGCAAGUCGAACGGAAAGGCGCUGCUUUUGUUGGGUGCUCGAGUGGCGAACGGGUGAGUAACACGUGAGUAACCUGCCCUUGACUGUGGGAUAACUUCAGGAAACUGGGGCUAAUACCGGCUAGGAGCUCCUGCUGCAUGGUGGGGGUUGGAACGUUUCGGCGGUUGGGGAUGGACUCGCGGCUUAUCAGCUUGUUGGUGGGGUAGUGGCGUACCAAGGCUUUGACGGGUAGCCGGCCUGAGAGGGUGACCGGCCACAUUGGGACUGAGAUACGGCCCAGACUCCUACGGGAGGCAGGAGCGGGGAAUAUUGCACAAUGGGCGGAAGCCUGAUGCAGCAACGCCGCGUGCGGGAUGACGGCCUUCGGGUAGUAAACCGCUUUCGCCUGUGACGAAGCGUGAGUGACGGUAAUGGGUAAGAAGCACCGGCUAACUACGUG